CGGAGUUGAGUUCAAAUACAUUAGUCUCUCUUUUACGAUGCAUGUCUUAGUAUCAUAAUGAAAAUUAUGAUAUCUCGAUUUCAAUGUUUAAACCAAUGCACAAUUUUUAAUUCGAUAAACGUCUAGGCAUCUUAUUUGCACCAAACCAAACCAAGUGAAUCUGGACGAGCAUGUUAGGUAAUCGAAUCAUGCGUAAAAGUAUAAUCAACAACAUUUUUGGUUCUUCGAAUUACUGAACCUAUCAUGCAAGCCACAUUUUCUAUGCCCUAGAAGUUUCCAUGAAUAUGACCGCUUAAUAUACACUAGAAAUUGCUGUAAAAAUAUUUAUUAGUAUGCCUAUAAUUUAUAAAUCUCUAUCAUAAUAUUCAAUAUAACAUGAAAAGAUAUAUGAACACACGCAUGUAUAUGCAAAUGUGUAUACACUACACCGUUUAUGAAAUAUUAGAGAAAUAAAUAUGAAAGAUUGUCUUAACAAUAAAGAAAAGUUUUGGUACAUCAUAAAUUUUUCAUUUUGUAGAAUUAAAAUUUUCAAUUAUAUACAUUACAGAUGCAUACCAAUUAAUAAUAUAAAUGUUAUUUGAAAACAUUUUAUGUGGCUAAGUAAUAAAAAAUAUUAAUUAGAAUUGUAAUAUGGUACACUUGGUUUAAAAUAAGUAUAAAAGUUUAAUAUGAAAACAAUUAUUUUACAUCGUCCCGGGCCCAAAAAUAUAUUGGACCGGAAUAAAGAGAACCAGAGAGAGAGCCACAGAGAGAGAGAGAGAGAGAGAGAGAUGGCAACUAAGCAAACGAUGAUCAUCGCCUCCCUUCCCUUGGAAGCACCCGGCGACGAUGAGCAGGAACUUCUGGCUAAGCAGCAGCUUGGCAAGAUCCAUGCUGCAAUCUGCAAGGUGACUCUUCCGGAUGUCCUAAGUUUCUCGUCCGACACGCUGUGGAAGCUGACUGAUGGGACGACAAGUCUGCUGCCAAGAGUGGAGGAGUUGCAGAACAAGAUCCUGGCGCAUACUAUCAAAAGGUCCGGCCCUCCCUCGGAAGCUUCCAAGUCUGAACCCCUCCAGAUGGCCGUCUGGUUCAACUGGAAUGCCAAGCUGUACCCGGUCGAUGACCCUAUGGACGCUUAAGAAGUGAUACCCAAGGUUGCCGCAAUCGUAGAUGACAACUUGAAUCAGCUCCAGGCAAAGCUUCGUUCCCUUCGUAUCACGAGGAGCAACAUUCAGGUGCUAGUCGAAAGCACACGAAGCUUGAUGACCGGUGACCUGAGGUUAAUGAUGAAGGCAGAGGUUGUGGUAAGAAGCGAGCAUCUGCGCACAGUGGCCGUGGUUGUCCCGCGGUCAAAAGAGGAAAUUUUCACUGAAACCUAUCAGUCUUUUCACACCAAUGUGUUGAAACACUCCGAUUACCUGCUACGCGAAGAUAUGCAUCACACACUGCACAGAAUUGUGCUUCUCACUGCUGACGCUGUCCCCACCUUCACCGCCAAGGCCAGUGAGCUAGGAUGCAUGGUGCGUCCAUUUGAUGCCACUGAAGAAGAGCACAAAACCAAGCGUAACGAGCUCAAGGCCCUCGUGGAGAAGAAGGACACGUUAGAAGAGGACUUGCAUGAGUGGUGUCAGAAAAGGGAGCAUGAAGUAUAUAU